UCCGCCUUUACAGCCAGGAUUCCUUCUGAAAACCCAGCUCUCGUUCAGCAGAGUGCAGCAGCAGAGCCCAGCGCUGUAAAACAACAGGUGAAGAGGAUUCAGGUGCCCUGGAGCAACGCCAGAGCUGCAGGUCUCCACUCCCAGGUGUGUCUGGCACCUCUGUGUGACACCUGAGCCCGCGGCAGUGGCACCAGACAUUUACACUGAAAUACAUCGAAUUAUCUUUCUUUCAUCACACGGCUGCAUCAUCCAUUUCUUUGAGCUCUCUCUCGCUGUGUCCCCAGUGAGCAGAAACACUUCAGCUUUGGAAAUACAUAUUUAUAUCCCUGGAACACGUCACCUCCCAUGACAAGCACCAGACAACACUCAUUAUCCAGGCUGCUCCACAGCAUCAUUUCAAACACGAGGACCUCAAUAGCUCUGCAGAUAUUAAAAUAAAACCUUUCCUGGGCUUUCCUGCCCCCAGAGGUGGCAGUGGCUGCGGUGGGCACCACAAGCCUGGCAGCCCUUGCCCACCAGGCCCCGCUGGGGAGCAGUGGAGGGGCGGCAAUAAAUCCAUUUUCUCUCCUUUCCUGUGUGCCUGCAGGGGCCAGGCCUGUGGGAUUGCUGCUGGAAGUGCGGCCUCAUUUAAUGGGGAUCUGACUGAUAUCAAAAUUGACUCGGUUUUCCAAUGAUAUCUUGUAGUGGAAUGUUGUGAGCUGGAAACUAAUAUAUUUCUUCUUGCUUGUCACAUCAAUAUGGGCUAAUUUUGUUGGCUUUUGUAUUGAACAACCUGGUGAAUGUACAAUCCAGCUUUGAUUUCUCUCUUUAUGAUGCCUCUUAUUAUUAAACCUCCCUCAACCAAAAAAA